AGAGGAGAGGAGAGGAGAGGAGAGGAGAGGAGAGAAGAGAAGAGAAGAGAAGAGAAGAGAAGAGAAGAGAAGAGAAGAGAAGAGAAGAGAAGAGAAGAGAAGAGAAGAGAAGAGAAGAGAAGAGAAGAGAGAAGAGAAGAGAAGAGAAGAGAAGAGAAGAGAAGAGAAGAGAAGAGAAGAGAAGAGAAGAGAAGAGAAGAGAAGAGAAAAGAGGGUGGCAGGGAUGUCUAGGUCCAUCUGGCCCAACCCCUGUGCAAGCAGGAACACCCAAAGCAGAUUGUCCAGGACUAUGUCCAGGUGGCUUUAGAAGAUCCCCAAGGAGAAGAUUCCACAGCCUCUCUGGGCACCUGGACCAAUGCACCAUCACUUGCACAGUAAAGAAUAUCCUAAUAUUUAGAUGAAGCCCUGUGAUCCAGUUUGUUCCCAUAAUCUCUUGUCCUGUACCAUUGAAAAGAGACUGGCUCUGCCUUCUCUACAUUUGUCCUUCAGGUAUUUAUAGACAUUUAUAAGUUCCCCUCUGAGUCUUCUCUUCUUCAGGCAGAACAGUCCCAGCUCUCUCAGCUUCCCAUCACAGGAGAGGCUUUAAUUACUGUUUUUUGAUCAGCUGGCUAUACUGUGUUUAAUGCAUGCCAAAAUGCAGUGAGCUUUCUUGGCUGCUAGGGUGCACUGCAUAAAAUGACAAGGAAAGACAACAGGAAAAGUAGGAAAUAAAAAGAGAAGCACAGAGGGGAAAAAAAAAAGAAAGAAAAAAACCCUAGAAGAAAAGGCUGCUCACUGAAAUGUAGUGCUUAAUCAAGAUAAAUGAGCAAAAGUUUCAUAACACAAAUGAGAAAACUUGAGCAACCGCAGAAGUCACUCUCCUUGCUCUGCUACCAUGUGCUAAAUAACAUUACCAAGGUGUCCAAGUGGUUCCAGCAAAUUAAGGUGAGUUGUUGGCCAUUCAAAAAGAUAUUUCCCAAGAGAUUCAUGGCUGCGAGUACAGCAAGGGACUUAUUCAAUACUCCUAAGAUGUAAUGAAUUCAGUGGACACUCAGCAGCUCACUGAACUAGGCUUUAUAAAAAAGCAAUAUGAAGUAUGGUACAUUUUUUAGAACAGUUUCUUAAUCAUCAGUGGAGAUGAAAGAUUUCCUGAAAUAACUGUGAUGCACAUCACUUGCUUGUUUUGAAAAUUUCUGGUAGCCAAAACUGUAACAUACAUAUUCCACUCUGACUUAGUGGAGGAAAGGAGACCUCAUAUUACCCUUCAGUGGUGAAAUAUUCACUUUCUCAUAUAAGCAAUUGUCCUUUCUAGAGGACAGCAGGACACAAAGGAGACUAGAGUAAAUUUAAUCAAACACAUACUACUGUUGUAGUUUAUUCUGUUUAAGACUUUGCUUUGAGACAGCCACAUGCUUCAUUCUGAGACAAGUUAAAAUGAGCUGCAAAGACUAAUGUUGAUUGCUUUAGGACUUGAAUGUGCAUAGUACAUUAGAAUUAUGUGUUCUGAAAGCGCCAAUUCAUAUGAAUUUUUUUUUUUAGGGGGUGGAGUAGGCAGAGUGGGAGGAACAGAACAAAUUAAGACUAAUUCAGUGAUAUCGUGUCUCCAAAAUGUACAAGCUACUGUGAAAUACAGACUUUAAAACUUCAAUAGAAAGAUAGUGUCAGCAGUUGCAUAUAGCUUUGAUAUUUUCCAGUAUAAUCAUGCAUGACAUGACAAAAAUUGCUAGCCAGAAGUAUGUAUAUACAUAUAUAUAUGUAUAUAUAUUGCCUGUACAAUAAGUUACAGAAACACUAUUGAAAAAGAAGAAGAAAAUUCUAUGUUUAUAUAGUGUAGCUGAGAUAACAGCUAGAAACUUAUUUCCCAUUUUAAGGCAUAUGAGGUAGAGACUUAAUACUAUAUAAAAGUAAUCUUACACUUUAAGACAAAGGGGGGAAAAAUCAUCCAUGUUUAUUACAGCCAACACUUCAGUUAAAUUUCAAUUUUAUUUUGAGAUAGGACGAUUCAUUACAGAGCAAGCCAGAAGAAACACUUUGAUUAUGACAGUUCAUAGAAAGUAUUUUCUGUGAAAGUAUUUUGUUUAUUUUCAGCUUGCUGUAAUUCAUACAUUGCGAAAUAUUGCUCUCUGUGUGAUACAGGUCACAUUCAAAGCUGACUACAAUCGAAAGGAAUUUGUAUGUCUAUAUCAGGUUUCCAUUGCCUUCAGAAAUUGUGGUUUAGUCUGGAAAUUGAUUUGGUUUUUUUGAGGCCAGCAUGUUUAUUUGUAUUGGUGUUGUGUGUUUUUAUUUUUAUUUAUUUAUUUAUUUAUUUUGGUAAAGGGGAGGAGUUUUUUGCUGUUAGUUAGUUAGCAGCUGACUACUGAUGAAGUAGGGUAUCAUCUCCUUGAAAAUUAUCACCUGCUCUUUCUGCACUAUAAGCUUACACUCUGAUGUGGGACAUAAAAAAUACAGCAUGGCUUACCACACGUUGGGUGCCUGAGCACGCCAACAGAUCAUAACUCCCUUGAUCACAUUCACCUGUGAGAUCCCACCAGGCACUCUUGGCUGGGUUCCCAGCCCUUGUCCAUGCUGUAUGCUAGGGAGCAGCACCCACAGGUCUGCUCUGCAAGGGGUAUGAGCAACGUGUUGAAGGGGCACAGUGUUAGAAAGAUGGGAGCUAUCUGCCUUUAGGGAGGAGGCCACUGUGUAACUGUCAGCAAGUCAGCAGUCCCAGAGAAGAGUAUGUGCAAGUGUAUGUAGAGUCUGAUGAGAGCUUUCUAUAAUCCUUCUCUCUCUGAGAUGAAUAAUAAGGUAUGAAUUCCUUUUUUAAUACUUAUCCUCAUAUUUUUUUCACACCAGAGCAUGAAUACACUGUAAUUUUUUCCUGUUCUUUAAUUUUGUCAGCUUGUAUUGUUGCUUGUACAAAGGCAAAAGUCAAUUCCAAUUAAAUAAAUAUAUGAAAUGUAUGAUGGGAGCAUUUCCACUUCUGUUGGAAAUGCUAUACUAAUAUUAGAAGGAGCUGAUGCUGUGGGACAUUUGCUGUUUUCUCAUUACCGUUGGUGGACAGAGUUCAUGAAUGCAGUACAGAGUUAAAAGUUUUGUCACUUUCAUAAUGGACUUAGAUUAUACUCUUUUUAAAACCCUGUUCUAAUUGCAUUUUUUUUCUAGUCUAAACUUCUCCAUUUAAAUUAAUAGAACAAUUUAUAUGAGGCUCAAGAUAUAAAUAUUUGAUGUUGGCUGUAAAAUGAGUAGGUUGUUGCCCUCCCUCUAAAAUGGUAUGAUUUCUGGUAAUAAAAUCACAUUUUCUGAAAAAUAUACAUAUAUUUUCUAUAUCUAAGCUUGUUGCCAGGCUCAUGUCAUAAAAAGGUUAAGAAAAGUACUUUUAAAAAUAUAACUAUGCUUUGUUACUUUAUUAGCUGCUUUAAUCAUGCACUCAUUAACUUGUCCAGAAUGUCCAUUUUUAUAAAAGGAAGAAUAUAAAAUGUCAUUCCUGACAGUAAUCUUGCUUAUAAAAUAAUACUGAUAACAAUUCUAGUUAGAAAUCCCAUCAUAUAUAUUUCCAUAAUAGUUGUUCUCAGGUCUGGAUCAGUAAAUCAUACUGGUAGAACCAGAGAAGCCAUUCUCAUUAUCAGAUUUAAUUUGGUUUAUUAAGCAUUUCCCUAUGGUCUUCUGAAACCUUUACACUAAUUUCUUAACUGACAGCACUGGUGUCAAGUGAUCUUGUGAUGAAAUUAAUUGCGAGUACUACAUUUCAGAUCCUCUCCCAUUUCCUGAUGCUUGCCAAGAAAGCCCAGGCUAAUGUUCUGAAAAAAAAAAAAAAAAAAAAAAAAAGUCACUACAUACUGCAAACUUGUGCCAUCUAAAUACAACCCUGAUAGGUUCGUAAAGACUUUAUACUAAAGUCUUGCAUUCCAUACAUGAAAACUAAUAACCUAAAUAUUUCCCUAGCCAUUCUUUCUACAGAAACAUGGAGUUAUAAGAAACUUAAGAGGACUGUUUUUUAAGCCAGAAAACUCUCUCAGUUUCUGAGAGUCUCAGUAUUCCAGAGCCAAUUCUAUAUAUUGUUUAUUGCCUAGAUUGAUUUAAUGUAUGGUAACUGAUGUAAAUUUGUGUUGGCAUACAUGGCUCACAACCCGUGAAAACAGAGCUUCUCUUGUCAGUAUGCAUAAGGAGCACAUCUUUACAGAAGUAAUUUAUGCCAAAAUCCCUGCAUUUCAGAAUUUUUCUUAAAUAUACUGAAAGCAUAGAAAAAAUCUUGUAAUAGGUUCCAAGUUUUUAGCUAAUAUAAUAAAUGUGUGCAAAUCAACAACUAUUUUAAUUAAAUAUCAUUUAGAUAAUUUCUGUCACAUUUUCAUUAGUAUAUCCAUGACGUUAGCCUGCAAUAGCCUUCAACACAGUAAUAGCCUUAUUCUUUUAAAUAAUAAAUAAUUCACCUACCUUUGUCUCAUAUUUCUCUGAAGUCCUAAGCUUUACUUCCACCUCUGUACACGUGUGCUCAUCUGAGCUGCAUUUAAUUUUACUGAAGCAAGAAACAUUUAGAAAUAUUCAAGUUCUUCUGUGAUAUAUUUGUUCAGUGUAUCAAGAUAUUGACAUCUUGGUUCAGAGGUAGAAGAGAAGCUUGAUGAAACAGUCUUUUAUUCUAUACUCAUAGCUGUUUUUAUUUUUUUCUUUCUUUCUUUCUUUCUUCUCCCUUUGGUCUAAUUGUUUAUGACGUAUUUUUUCAAGGGGACAAAUUCCAGUCUUGACAAGGACAACUGCUGGAAUUCUGGAGUUGCAUCUACUACUGCUAGUCUCAGCUUGUGGCAUUUUAUAAUGUACUUCGUGGCAACUGAUGACAGCAUAUUUCCUUCUGAUGUGACUUGGAGAGAAUAAAACACGGAAUCAUACUGUGGCAGAGAGAGAAACAGGAAAUAGUCAAAGGCGUCAGCUCAAGCACAAGACAGAGGACACACUAUAUGGAUAUCUCAAAGUGUGCUUUAAACAGAUACAUCCAGAGAGAAUGACUGUAGGAGAAAAACAAUGUUGAUGAUACACCAGUGUUUUAGUUGUUGCUGAGCAGUGCUGUACAGAGCCAUGAACCUUCCGGUUUUUCAGCUUCUCAUGCUGUCGUGCCAGCAAGGCGCUGGGACAGCAUAAGAAGCUGGGAGGGGACAGGGCCAGCACAGCUGACCUGAAGUGGCCGAAGAGAUAUUCCGUACCAUAAGAUGUCAUAUGGAAAAACUAUAAAACUUAAAGUAGUUGGCUGGGGGAGAACCACUGCCUUGACACUGGGGACCGGCUUGGCAUUGACUGACAGGUGGGGCUGUUUCACCAAAAAAAAAACCAAACAAACAAACAAACAAAAAAACUUUCUACUCAAAGUAUUUGAAACACUGCAUCCAGAAGUACUGCCAUCGGGAGUAGUGCAUCCAGGACUUGGGCGCACAGCACAACGAAGACUUGGAACAGUUGGAGUGGGUCCAGAGGAGGGCUGUGAGGACGAUUACAGUGCUGAAGCAUUUCCCUUAUAAAGAAAGGGUGACUUGUUUAGCCUGGAAGAAUAGAAAACUUGGGGAGAACUCCCAGCUUUCAAGUACUUGAGUGGAGCUUAUAAGCAGGAGGGAGACCAGUUUUUUACAAGUUCUGAUAGUAAGAUAUCAAAAUAUAUAUCAGAAUAUCAAAAGAUAUGAUAAGACAAGGGGGAAUGUUUUUAAACUAAAACAGGAGAGAUUUACAUCAGAUAUUAGGGAGAAAUUUUUCAGUGAGAGGAGGUUGAGGCACUGGAACAGAUGGUCAAGAGAAGCUGCGGAUGCUCCAUUCCUGGAGGCAUUCAAGGUCAAGUUGGAUGGGGCCCUGGGCAGCCUGAGCUGGUGGGUGGCAACCCUGUCCACAGCAGGAGGGUUGGAACUGGAUGAGCUUUAAGAUCCCUUCCAACCAAAGCCAUUCUGUGAUCCUAUGAUUCUUCUCAUCUCAUUGGAUUCCAGAACUAAGAGAGAGCAUCAAAAAAGAAGACAAAGGGAUUUCUCAGAUAGUCAGAAAUGUUGCAAAACAGCAUAUCUAAAUGAAAUCACCUAGUCAGAAUAUAUAUUGACAAGAUAGAAGUACAGAUUUUACUUUCCCAGCACGUUUUCUAAAUGAAAAAAUUCAAGUCAGUAGAUAACCAAAAAAUAGAUGCUGUUUUCUGCAACAAACAAACAAACAAAUAAAUAAAUAAAUAAA
ensembl:lncRNA